CAGGUGGUGCAUGGCUGUCGUCAGCUCGUGUCGUGAGAUGUUGGGUUAAGUCCCGCAACGAGCGCAACCCUUGUCCUAUGUUGCCAGCGGGUAAUGCCGGGGACUCGUAGGAGACUGCCGGGGUCAACUCGGAGGAAGGUGGGGAUGACGUCAAGUCAUCAUGCCCCUUAUGUCCAGGGCUUCACACAUGCUACAAUGGCCAGUACAGAGGGCUGCGAAGCCGUAAGGUGGAGCGAAUCCCUUAAAGCUGGUCUCAGUUCGGAUUGGGGUCUGCAACUCGACCCCAUGAAGUCGGAGUCGCUAGUAAUCGCAGAUCAGCAACGCUGCGGUGAAUACGUUCCCGGGUCUUGUACACACC
rnacentral:rRNA from 1 species